CAGAAAGUGCGAAGCAGGUGACGAAGCGCUUACAGAUCUCAGCGAUGAUAAUCGCCUUUGCAUUGUACAUUUGUUCGUGGAACAGCAAGAACCAUCCUUGAACAGAAACAUAUUUCGUAUUCAGUCCGUUAUGACUGAUAUAACGUACACCUGUGGUGAGGUUACAUCUGGGCCUAGAGUUCAGUGUGUUUUACUGAUUUUUCAGCUUCUAGUAACAGGAUGCUUGCCUAAGUGGCCCGGAAGACACACUGUCUCACAUCGCCAGGAUCUGGAAAGGGGGCGGCUGCCGAACUGAUUGAUGCCGUGACUCCGUGAAGCCAUCAAAACCCGGGUCCUUUCCGCCUCCCUUGCUCUGUCAUCCUCCGUGGUGGAGAAGGACACACUUCCAGAAGUCUCCUGGAAGACUUCACUGGUUGUAUUGGGCUGAAUCUCCACUCUUAAACCAUUGAUAAAAGGAAUGGGAUUACCACACUUGGCUUAAAGAAAUCAGGAUACCCUAUCUCCUGGAGCUCAGAAGAUUGACGAGGAAUUGCCAAUGCUCUUCAUGGUGGGUGAGCCAAGUCACACGCCACAGAAAGCGUACAGGAGUUUCUGACUCUCACAGCCUCACCAACCCCUGGGAGAUGAGUCUCUACCAGUCACAUGAGUUUACAAAGUGAGCUCAUUGUUUUAAUCUGCAUUUCUGAUUACUAAUGGGAUUAAAUGCAUUUUUACAUGGUUUUUUUUACCAUUUGGGCUACCAUUUCUGCAAGUUACCUCUUCUUAUUCUUUGUCCUUGUUUUAUUUUCUCCUGCACUGAUUUGUCUUUUUGUUUUGAAUUGGGGAAGUCCUAAAAAUAUCUUGGAUAUUCAUUUUCUGUGCUUUCAAGAGGUUUUCUCUGCUGAGUGUGUGGUUUAUCUUUUUGUUUUGUCUACUGUAUCUUUGGUAAUAGAUUGUGUGGUCAUAAUGUAUAGCUAUAUAUAAUAGAUAUAAUAGAGUCUUAAAACUUUUAAUCUGUUCAAAUUUGUCAAUAUUUUUUAAUGUUUGUUUACAUCUUGUUUCAGAAUUCCUCCUUUAACAUGUUAUCCAGUUAUUAUGCUAUAUUUUCUGAGGCUUUUCUUGUCGUAUUUAACUUUUAAUCCAUAUAGUAUUUAUUUUUGUGAUUUGUGUGAAGUAGGUUUCUAAUUUUAUUUCUUCACAUAUGCACUGCCAGUUAAGAUGGUAGAGUGAUUGAAUAGUCCAUUCUUUCUCUUCUUUUUAAUGUUCAUAGGUUUGUUACUAGUUCUAUCCAGCUACACUGAUCUACUUUCUAUCUCUGCAUUAAUAAUGCAUAUUUUAAUAUUUAAUUGCUAUGGUUUUACAAGCCUUAAUUUCUUGUAGGUGAAGACACCUUGAUAUGCGUUUUCAAAAUUGUCUUUCAUAUCCAUUUCCCUCCAAGAAGUUCAGGACCACUUUGUUGAAAGUUCUGUGAAAACUCUGUUGCAUCUAUGGUUUUGAUUCUUCACCAUUCCUAAUUCGUACCAUUUGAAUAGUUUCCUUAAAUAGUUUUGCCAGAAGUUUGUCCUUUUUUUAGUCUUUUCAAAAAUUUGUUUUUGUUGAAUCUUUCUAAUUUGUGUUAUAAUUUCUUUUUUGAACCAGGAAGUAUUCAGAAUUGGUUUUUUAAUUCUCAUUUUUAUCGCAUUUUGGUCAGAAAACAUGUUCCGUAAGAUGUAGAUUUUUUUUUUUUUUGAGACUUGCUUAGUGGCUCAUUCUACUGUCAAUUUUUGUAAAUGUGCCAUGCGUGCUUGGAAAGAAUAUGGUUUCUUUGUUGUCUUCAGGGUUCUAUAAAUGACCAUUUAAUCAGUUACUGAGAAAUCUAAAAUCCCCUACUAAAAUUGUGAAUUUCUAGGUUCUUUCCAGUAAAUCCAUUUUGUUUGUUUGUUUGUUUGUUUUGAAACUAUGUCCCUAGGGGCAUAAAGGUUCAAAAUUUUUAUAUUUUUUCUGGAAAGGAUUGUUCCUUUCAUUAUUAGACAAUAAGCCUCUGUGUCCCUAAUUCUCUCUCCCUCCCUCUUAAAGUUGAUUUUACUGAUGAUUAUAUGUUUAUAUGAGGCUUUGCUGCUGUUAUUGUUAGUAUUUUUCAGAUAUUUCCUCCCCUUCAAUUCUUUUACUUUCAGUUUGUCUGUGUCACUAUGCUUUAGGUGAGCCUCUCGUUAACAACAUAUAACUAGAAAUUCAAUAUACAAUCUGUAAGUCUCUGUAUUUUAUUUGGGAAGUCGAGUUUCUUUACAUUUUUUAUGAUUACCAUUAUACUGUAUUUCAUCAAAUCUAAGUUGCCAUUUAUUAUAAGGUGCAACACCAUUUUAGUUAUCAUUAAGAAACAGAAAAAAUAUUGCAAUUAAACAGUGACACAAUGCUUAUUUGGAACUUAUU